GAUGGACGCUGGCGGCGUGCCUAAUACAUGCAAGUCGAGCGAACAGAUAAGGAGCUUGCUCCUUUGACGUUAGCGGCGGACGGGUGAGUAACACGUGGGUAACCUACCUAUAAGACUGGGAUAACUUCGGGAAACCGGAGCUAAUACCGGAUAACAUUUGGAACCGCAUGGUUCUAAAGUGAAAGAUGGUUUUGCUAUCACUUAUAGAUGGACUCGCGCCGUAUUAGCUAGUUGGUAAGGUAACGGCUUACCAAGGCGACGAUACGUAGCCGACCUGAGAGGGUGAUCGGCCACACUGGAACUGAGACACGGUCCAGACUCCUACGGGAGGCAGCAGUAGGGAAUCUUCCGCAAUGGGCGAAAGCCUGACGGAGCAACGCCGCGUGAGUGAUGAAGGGUUUCGGCUCGUAAAACUCUGUUAUUAGGGAAGAACAAAUGUGUAAGUAACUGUGCACGUCUUGACGGUACCUAAUCAGAAAGCCACGGCUAACUACGUG
rnacentral:rRNA from 1 species